AUUGAACGCUGGCGGCAUGCCUUACACAUGCAAGUCGAACGGUAACAGGUCUUCGGAUGCUGACGAGUGGCGAACGGGUGAGUAAUACAUCGGAACGUGCCUAGUAGUGGGGGAUAACUACUCGAAAGAGUGGCUAAUACCGCAUGAGAUCUACGGAUGAAAGCAGGGGAUCGCAAGACCUUGUGCUACUAGAGCGGCCGAUGGCAGCUUAGGUAGUUGGUGGGAUAAAAGCUUACCAAGCCGACGAUCUGUAGCUGGUCUGAGAGGACGAUGAGCCACGCGGGGACUGAGACACGGCGCAGACUCCUACGGGAGGCAGCAGUGGGGAAUUUUGGACAAUGGGCGCAAGCCUGAUCCAGCAAUGCCGCGUGCAGGAUGAAGGCCUUCGGGUUGUAAACUGCUUUUGUACGGAACGAAAAGCCCCGGGUUAAUACCCUGGGGUCAUGACGGUACCGUAAGAAUAAGCACCGGCUAACUACGUGCCAGCCGCCGCGGUAA
rnacentral:rRNA from 1 species